ensembl:lncRNA
GUACGAUGUGUGUAGACAGGGCAGAGUAACUAGUAAUAGUAUAUAUAUAGUAAUGAAUAUCUGCUGCUGAUGGGAUGACUUCUCUAAGGUGAGUGACCGUACGGUGUGCGUGGACACCUGAGAGAACCAUAGGCCAGACUGAGCAUCUACCAUCCCACUAUCAGAUUAGGGAUGGUGGCAAUUUAUGCUUUUUGGCCCAAACUUUUUAUCUGACAUCACCCACUGAUUAACAUUGGGGUGGCAGGUAGCCUAGUGGUUAGAGUGUAGGGGCGGCAGGUAGCCUAGUGGGUAGAAGUGUAGGGGCGGCAGGUAGCCUAGUGGGUAGAGUGUAGGGGUGGCAGGUAGCCUAGUGGUUAGAGUGUAGGGGAGGCAGGUAGCCUGGUGGUUAGAGUGUAGGGGUGGCAGGUAGCCUAGUGGGUAGAGCGUUUGGCCAAGUAACCGAAAGGUUGCUGAAUCAAAUCCCCGAGCUGACAAGGUAAAAAUCUGUCGUUCUGCCCCUGAACAAGACUUGUAACCCAUUGUUCCCGGUAGGCUGUCAUUGUAAAUAAGAAAUUGUUCUUAAUUGACUUGCCUGGUUAAAUAACGGUUACAUUUUAAAAAACGUUAAAAAAUCUAACCAAAUACACUGACUGUUUAAAUCAAAACAACCAACACUGUUACCGUAAUUGCUGGACUAUUAAGCGCACCUGAAUAUAAACCGCACCC